CGUAUACUCCCUCCGUCCGGAAAUACUCGUCGGAGAAAUGGAUGUAUCUAGAUGUAUUUUAGUUUUAGAUACAUUCAUUUUUAUGCAUUUCUCCGACAAGUAUUUUCGGACGGAGGGAGUAUAUA
rnacentral:pre_miRNA from 1 species